GUCUUUUUGAGAAUAAUUUAAAGUCUAACCUGCCCAAUGAGUAGUUGAAUGGCCGCAGUAUUUUGACUGUGCAAAGGUAGCAUAAUCAUUAGUUUCUUAAUUAGAAACUGGAAUGAAAGGUUGGACGAGAAAAUAUCUGUCUCUUUAUAAAUUUUUUAGAAUUUUAUUUUUAAGUUAAAAAGCUUAAAUGAAUUUAAAAGACGAGAAGACCCUAUAGAGUUUUAUAAAAAGUUUUAUUAAUAAUUAUAAUUUAAUUUGUUUAAUUUUAAUAAAAUUUUUAUUUAAUUGGGGUGAUUAAAAAAUUUAAAGAACUUUUUUUUUAUAAAAACAUUAUUAUAUGAUUUUUUGAUCCAUUUUUUAUGAUUAUAAGAUUAAAUUACCUUAGGGAUAACAGCGUAAUUUCUUUGUAGAGUUCAAAUCGAUCAAGAAGUUUGCGACCUCGAUGUUGGAUUAAAAUUUAAUUUUGGUGUAGAAGCUAAAAAAUUAGGUCUGUUCGACCUUUAAAAUUUUACAUGAUCUGAGUUUAAACCGGUGUGAGCCAGGUUGGUUUCUAUCUUUAAAUAAAAAUAAAUAUUUUAGUACGAAAGGACCAAAUAUUUUUAAUAAUUAAUAAAUUAUGAAUAUUAAUAAGUAUUUUUAUUAUUUUGGCAGAUUAGUGCAUUAAAUUUAGAAUUUAAUUAUGUAAGCAUAUUACAAAUAAUACUUGAUUUUUUUAGACAUUUUUUUAAUAUUUAUUAGUAGUUUAAUUUUAGUUAUUUGUGUUUUAGUUGGAGUAGCUUUUAUAGUAUUGUUAGAACGAAAGGUUUU
rnacentral:rRNA from 1 species